rnacentral:rRNA from 1 species
CCCCGGUAAACGGCGGCCGUAACUAUAACGGUCCUAAGGUAGCGAAAUUCCUUGUCGGGUAAGUUCCGACCUGCACGAAUGGCGUAAUGAUGGCCAGGCUGUCUCCACCCGAGACUCAGUGAAAUUGAACUCGCUGUGAAGAUGCAGUGUACCCGCGGCAAGACGGAAAGACCCCGUGAACCUUUACUAUAGCUUGACACUGAACAUUGAGCCUUGAUGUGUAGGAUAGGUGGGAGGCUUUGAAGUGUGGACGCCAGUCUGCAUGGAGCCGACCUUGAAAUACCACCCUUUAAUGUUUGAUGUUCUAACGUGGACCCGUAAUCCGGGUUGCGGACAGUGUCUGGUGGGUAGUUUGACUGGGGCGGUCUC